GCUUGCUUUUCGGAUCAGUGGCGAACGGGUGAGUAACACGUGAGUAACCUGCCCUUGACUCUGGGAUAACUGCUAGAAAUGGUAGCUAAUACCGGAUACGACCCUCGGCCGCAUGGUCAGGGGGUGGAAAGAAUUUUGGUCAAGGAUGGACUCGCGGCCUAUCAGGUAGUUGGUGAGGUAAUGGCUCACCAAGCCUACGACGGGUAGCCGGCCUGAGAGGGUGACCGGCCACACUGGGACUGAGACACGGCCCAGACUCCUACGGGAGGCAGCAGUGGGGAAUAUUGCACAAUGGGCGAAAGCCUGAUGCAGCAACGCCGCGUGAGGGACGACGGCCUUCGGGUUGUAAACCUCUUUUAGUAGGGAAGAAGCGAAAGUGACGGUACCUGCAGAAAAAGCACCGGCUAACUACGUGCCAGCAGCCGCGGUAAUACGUAGGGUGUAAGCGUUGUCCGGAAUUAUUGGGCGUAAAGAGCUCGUAGGCGGUUUGUCGCGUCUGCUGUGAAAUCCGGAGGCUCAACCUCCGGCCUGCAGUGGGUACGGGCAGACUAGAGUGCGGUAGGGGAGAUUGGAAUUCCUGGUGUAGCGGUGGAAUGCGCAGAUAUCAGGAGGAACACCAAUGGCGAAGGCAGAUCUCUGGGCCGUAACUGACGCUGAGGAGCGAAAGCAUGGGGAGCGAACAGGAUUAGAUACCCUGGUAGUCCAUGCCGUAAACGUUGGGAACUAGAUGUGGGGGCCAUUCCACGGUCU
rnacentral:rRNA from 1 species